GACCAGACUCCUACGGGAGGCAGCAGUGGGGGAUAUUGCACAAUGGGGGGAACCCUGAUGCAGCGACGCCGCGUGGGUGAAGGAGCGUUUCGGCGCGUAAAGCCCUAUCGGCAGGGAAGAAGGAGGACGGUACCUGACUAAGAAGCCCCGGCUAACUACGUGCCAGCAGCCGCGGUAAUACGUAGGGGGCAAGCGUUAUCCGGAUUUACUGGGUGUAGAGGGAGCGUAGACGGCAGUGCAAGUCCGGAGUGAAAGCCCGGGGCUCAACCCUGGGACUGCUCUGGAAACUGUAAAGCUGGAGUGCGGGAGGGGCAGGCGGAAUUCCUGGUGUAGCGGUGAAAUGCGUAGAUAUCAGGAGGAACACCGGCGGCGAAGGCGGCCUGCUGGACCGUAACUGGCGUUGAGGCCCGAAAGCGUGGGGAGCAAACAGGAUUAGAUACCCGCGUAC
rnacentral:rRNA from 1 species